rnacentral:ncRNA from 1 species
CCUCGAUGUCGGCUCACCUUAGCGCGGCGGUGGAGAAGCUGCCAAGCGUUUGGCUGUUCGCCAAUUAAAAAGGUACGCGAGCUGGGUUCAGACCGUUUGGAAAUUAAUUUACAAAUUGAUUUUCGGACAGUUUGAACCCUCAGAGGAAUUCAUGAACAAAAAUGAACUGUUUUAAUCGAAAUUAACCAUAUUAUUAAUUUAGUAUCACGGCGGUUCUGCGAAUUUUUUUCGCAGGAAGAAGUCGGGGUUUUCGGAGGAAUCCAAUCCUGAGCAUUUGCGAAGGAGGACAACACCGAGAAGAAAUUUAUUUUCUUUGUAGAGACUACAAACCGACCUUAUUGAAAAAUAAGAAUGUAUAGUCCAAUCCCCAAAGUAAUUUGGGACGUCCCAUUAGAAUUUACGGUCGCAAGCGACCUACUUCUAACGGGAUGAAUAGAUGCGUGAGACAGGUUGGUCUCCUAUCUACUGCACUCGUUGAUUCUUGAGAAGAUUUGCAUCUAGUAGCCCGUAAGGGCCUGCUACUUCACGCAGAAAUGUGUGAUGAAAAAGUGGCUAAUAACGGUGGAGUCUUCAUUGAUGUUUCUUGUCCGAUGAAAAGUAAUAUCGAACGGUCUUUGGUAUUACGAUUCGCUUGAGGACCAGAAAUAUGAUAAGAUAAUACCGUGGGAAGUCGAUCUAAAAUCAAGUUAGCAUAUAUUGCCGGUUUCUUAGAUGGAGACGGUAGUCUGAUGCUUCAGCUUAAAAAGCGAAGCGACAGUAAACGAGCAAUUCGUUUCAUGACUACUAUUUGUUUUUAUCAGGAUACUAGGCACGAAAAGACUUUGUAUUGGAUACAAGAAGUUUUAGGUAUCGGUUAUAUUUCCAACAGAAAUGAUGGGAUGACCGAACUUCGAAUAAAUGGCUACAAACAAAUAGGAAAUAUUCUUAAAAGUUUAAUACCACAUAUUCGAUUCAAAAAACUUCAAGCUCAUGCGCUAAUACUUGCGUGUGAGAUAUUAUCUAAUACCAAGUUUAGUAAGCUAACUAAAAAGCAAUUAAUUAAACUUAUUGACCUAAUUUUAGUAAUUCAAAGUGAAAACUAUGUUACUAAGAGAAAGAAAACAAAAAGUGAAUUGUAUAAGAUUUUACAUUUGACCCCGUAACGACUUAUCUCUGACUUUAUGUCAGAGUAGACUUGUAUAACGCUGGAAAGUUCUUUUUUAAGAACAGGCUUAUACUUGUAAUACGCCAACAUCCUCUUUCUAUUGUAGAAAAGGAUGAAGAUAUAGUCUGCACUCCUAGAAAUAGGGGAUUAUGUGACGAGAGGACCGAUGUGAACUGACCUCUGGUGUACGAGCUGUCCUGCCAAGGGCACUGCUCGGUAGCUAUGUCGGGAAUGGAUAACCUCUGAAAGCAUCUAAGAGGGAAGCCAGCUUCAAGAUUAGGAAUCGUUAAGAACCCUAGGAGAUGACUAGGUUGAUAGGCUUUAAGUGUAAGCGCAGUAAUGCGUUCAGCUGAGAAGUACUAAUGUUUCGAUUCCUGUUAAGAA